rnacentral:rRNA from 1 species
GACAGAGGUGCCGAGCGUUAGGCGGAAUCACUGGGCUUAAAGCGUGUGUAGGCGGACUUCUAAGUACCUUGUGAAAUCCCACGGCUCAACCGUGGAACUGCUCGGUAUACUGGUUGUCUUGAGCCACUUAGGGGCAGUCGGAACAGACGGUGGAGCGGUGAAAUGCAUAGAUACAAUCAAGAACUCCGAUUGCGUAGGCAGCUAACUAGGCUGUAACUGACGCUGAGGCACGAAAGCGUGGGGAGCGAACAGG